CCCCGGCCGCCCUGUUUAUCAAAAACAUGUCUUUUUGGUAUUUAAUAUAAAUCUAACCUGCCCCUGAAUAUAUUUUAAAGGGCCGCAGUAUUUUGACUGUGCAAAGGUAGCAUAAUCAUUAGUCUUUUAAUUGAAGGCUGGUAUGAAUGGUUGGAUGAGAUACAAGCUGUGUCAUAAAAAUUAAAAUUUGAAUUUACCUUUUUAGUCAAAAGGCUAAAAUUUAUUUAAAAGACGAGAAGACCCCGUAGAGCUUUAUAUAAUUUAUAUUUAAAUUAUUUAGAUUUUUUAAAUUUAACUAUUUAAUUAUAUUUUGUUGGGGUGACAAUAAAAUUAAUAAAACUUUUAUUUUUAUUAUACAUUAAUUUAUGAAUAAAUGAUCCAGUUUUAUUGAUUAUAAAUUUAAGUUACCUUGGGGAUAACAGCGUAAUUUUUUUUGAGAGUUCUUAUCGACAAAAAAGAUUGCGACCUCGAUGUUGGAUUAAGAGUAAUUUUGGGUGUAGAAGUUCAAAGUUUAAGUCUGUUCGACUUUUAAAUUCUUACAUGAUCUGAGUUCAAA
rnacentral:rRNA from 1 species